rnacentral:rRNA from 1 species
CACGCAUGACACACUGCAUAUCAAUAAGCGGAGGAAAAGAAACUAACAAGGAUUCCCUUAGUAACGGCGAGUGAAGCGGGAAGAGCUCAAAUUUGAAAUCUUCAAGGUUCUACCUUGACGAAUUGUAGUUUAAAGAAGUGUUUUCUGUUGGAGUUUUGGUAAAAGUUCUUUGGAAUAGGACAUCAUAGAGGGUGAGAAUCCCGUAUUUGACCAUUAUUUUCAGCUGUGUGAUACACUUUCAAAGAGUCGGAUUGUUUGGGAAUGCAGUCCAAAAUGGGUGGUAAAUUUCAUCUAAAGCUAAAUAUUGGCGAGAGACCGAUAGCGAACAAGUACCGUGAGGGAAAGAUGAAGAGAACUUUGAAAAGAGAGUUAAACAGUACGUGAAAUUGUCAAAAGGGAAGCGAUUGACACCAGUGUUGUUUUCUCGAAAAUCAAUUAAAAAUGAUGGGAUUUUGUGUUGUAUUGACUUUAUCAGCUUUCUGCACUUUUUUCUUAUCUUUUUUAAUGCACUUUUCGUUUGACAAGUCAACAUCAAUUUCUUUUGUUGUAAAAGAGUCAUUGGAAGGUGGCUUUUUCUUCGGAAAAAGUGUUUAUAGCCUUUGGCUUCUGCAAUCGGAGAGAUUGAGGUCUGCAGCGUAGAUCCUUCGGGGUUAGAUACAUUUGUGCUAAGCUAUAGUUCUUUAUAGACAACUUGUUGACUAUAAUCAAUCCUGUAACUUACUCGCUUACGCUAUUUUACCUACGCUUAGGAUGUUGACUGAUAUGUAGUCGUA